AGAGAAAAAUAAAACAACAAACGAGAAGAAACACAUCUCCCCUGUGCGGGCAAUAAAAGCAGCCAGCAAAACCAUCAAUCCCCAGUGAGCUGCCUAGUUUAUUGAAGCCGUAAGACCAUUUUCAAAGCAUACUUCCUGUCCUCUGGGUAGGAUUUGCUCAAGUAAUAGAGCACUUGAUAUCACUAAGAUUCCUGAAUAUACCUUUAACCCGGAUUUUCUAUCCACAGCUAUGAAAUUCGAGCUCUGUGUCAUCUUGCUUAUGCGCUGCUUUUGUCCACUCGUUUAUUCACUUACAUUCAUCCCAUGAGUAUUUAUAGAAAAAUGACUGCCUACCAGUCAUCUCUCCUAACUCUACAGAUCCAGAGUGCCUAACGUAAAAACUCCUUUCCCGUUAAUGCACAUGUUGCUUCACCAAACCAGGUUCUAACCGUGAAGGUGAGGAAGUUCGUGGUGGUUCAUGGAG